rnacentral:rRNA from 1 species
UACAGAGGGUGCAAGCGUUAAUCGGAAUUACUGGGCGUAAAGCGUGCGUAGACGGUUACAUAAGUCGGGUGUGAAAGCCCCGGGCUCAACCUGGGAAUUGCAUUCGAGACUGCGUAGCUAGGGUGCGGAAGAGGGAAGCGGAAUUUCCGGUGUAGCGGUGAAAUGCGUAGAUAUCGGAAGGAACACCAGUGGCGAAGGCGGGUCUCUGGGCAGUAACUGACGCUGAGGAGCGAAAGCGUGGGGAGCGAACAGG